CCGGGCAGCGAACAACAAGGGCAGCGCGAGCGGCGAUUGGCGGAGAGCUCCGACGGACGGCCCGCCCACCAACGGGAUGAUCGGCCCGCGGCUUUCCCGUCGCUCAGAGGCUUCCCGCCAAUAAAAAGCGGCAACGGGAAGACGGUGUCCCACCCCCAGCUGCCAUUGGGUGAAAGAGGGCAAAGGCGGCCGCCAAUAGGCGGAAGGGGCUGCCGGUCAGCACGCCGCGGGCCUGCGCUCCGGCGGGGGCGAGGGGCGGCGAGUACGUGAGGAGCCGCACAGCAGCGCGGGGUGGGGGGGCGCUGCGGUCGCCCUGCGCCAAUGGGGCGGAGGACGGGGAGGGACCGCCCCCCCCCCCCGCGGCCUGUGCUGCCCCAGGAGGUGCUGCCCCCAGCGCUCUGCCGGCGAGGCAUCCACCAGUGCAGUUCAGACGGGCUCCAACCAGCAGCUAAACUGCUCUUCUGUCCCAUCUGCUGCAGGUGCUACAGGCUGGGGUGAGUCCCUGCAGUGUGCACCUGCACAGCACCGAGCACCUCCUGCAACCACCUGCACACAGCUCUUCUCCAACCGGCAGCAGGAUGAAGCAUUGGGCAGAUUUUAAUUCAUGGUCAAUUAAACCAUGCAGACCACA